UCUUAUCAAACAGCCACUUACUUUUAGGAUGAAAAGGUAGGUCUUAUGGUGUCUUUAGAAGGGUGCUAGGUUUGGGGCUUUAAAGGGGAAUUUUUAGGGUUCUAGUGUCCUUAGAAGGCUACUAGGGUUCAUGGAGUCUUCCACAUCGGAACAUACAUGUUUUCUGAUGAAAAUAGGGUGAGUAGCACUUUUAAUACUGUUUAGUACUCCAGAGUAUAGCACUUUCAGGUAGAAAGGGAACACCACCGUGAUAAACAAAACAAAAACAAGCACUUGUGAACUAGGAAAAAAAAACAAGCCGUUUUGAAUGCUCAAGAGCAUCUUCUUUGUUCUUGAUGAUUUCCGGUUGUUCCACUUUCACUGUCAUUCAAUUUUCACAAUGUCAACAUAUGCAGAGCCAGCCCUCGGGAGAUGAAGACUCUCAGAAUUCAUUCAUAGUAAUUGUUCUUGAAAAUUCACAUGGCGUACCUGAGCAAAUAUUGAACCUCUGUGGGUGAGAGAUUUUACUCCAGCAUAAAUGACAAGCACAAAUCUGGCUGUUUCUUACCUAUUAGUUCCUCUAUCGUUACUGCCUUCUUCGAUAUUCCAGACUCUUGAAAAGCUGAGUAAUCGCGAAUUCAGAAUUUUUUACCACUUGUAUGGACUGUUUUGUCACCAAAAUAACGGCUAUGUGAUUGUGCACGGAGUGCCGCCUUGUGAAAAGUUCAUCCUGCUGAUAGAGAAGGCUGAGUUGCUGAAUUACACUCGGAGUUCAGUGGUUUGAUGCCCUUCUGUACUCUAAUUGCGGCUAAGGCUGCAGCUGCAACUGCAAUAAUAUAAUAAAAGUUGCAGAACUGAGAACAGAAAAAAUCAAUAGCACAGAAUUUUCUAUCGUUUCAAAUUUCAUGCACGGGGAAAGAAAAUAUAAUAGGACAGAAGGCAUUGAAUUUGACCUUUCUGAAAAUGGGUAAAUUAACAGUUCAUGAAAACAAUGCAUCAAUUAGAUUUCAAUAUUUGGCUUUUGUCAUGCAAACUCUUGGAACACGAGAAUUGUUAGUUCUCUCUCUCCACCUGGUUUAUUUAUUAAUUUAUUUUUGGAUAAUAAAGAAAAUAUAACUUAGAAAAGAGCAAAGAGAUAUUACAGAAUGAGAAGCCGAGGAUGAGAAACCCUCCCAAACUAUGGAAAAGAAAUAAAUACAAAGCCCUUAAAUUAGGCUUCCCAACAGUCUCUCUCAACAACUCUGGACAUGAAAUCACACCAGAAGCACACAUCACUAGAAGACCACAAAGAAGCCCAAAAAAUGACCUAUUUCCAAUUUAUAAGAGGACAUCAGUUGGCCGCUAAUAAUCCAAGCAUUCCUCUCCAUUAAAAUACCACAAAGAGUACCAUUGCAAGACAGCUUUACCAUUCCUCUCUAUACGCAUCCAAUGAACUAAUCCAACAUUCCCCAAAAAAUACUCUCUUGACGUAUCCAGUGGUAUUCAUUAUAAUGAAGAGAAAGGUAAUAUUUACUUGGCAGCCAGCAGGAAUCAAAAAAUGACUAGAUGAGUAAACAAGAACAUAAAAUGAACAGAAUGACAGGAAUGAAUUCAGCAUGCAUCUUUUACUGCAAUGAUAACCAAAUAAUGUUGAUUUGAAACGAGCAACAAAUAUUUUGAAACUGUAGACUGAUGACUAACCUGUCAUGAAAAUUCUUCUACUAUGAAAAAGCUAGCUUCUGCAGGAUAAUGGCCCUUAACAAAACCAGGUUCCCAAGCGGUUUUGAU
rnacentral:lncRNA from 1 species